rnacentral:rRNA from 1 species
CAGCCGCCACGGUAAUACGUAGGGCGCAAGCGUUAUCCGGAAUUAUUGGGCGUAAAGAGCUCGUAGGCGGUUAGUCGCGUCUGCCGUGAAAGUCCGGGGCUCAACCCCGGAUCUGCGGUGGGUACGGGCAGACUAGAGUGAUGUAGGGGAGACUGGAAUUCCUGGUGUAGCGGUGAAAUGCGCAGAUAUCAGGAGGAACACCGGUGGCGAAGGCGGUUCUCUGGGAAUGUUCUGACGCUGAGGAGCGAAAGUGUGGGGAGCGAACAGGAUUAGAUACCCCCGUAGUCCCUGUCUCUUAUAC